CACUUGCUGCUCCACCUUGCACUGGUAUGUUAUGGAGACGGCUUCUUUCUUUAAACCGCAUGACCAGCCUCUUCUAGCUGCCAACUUUUCUUCUUUGGUUUCCCCACUUCUCU